rnacentral:rRNA from 1 species
CGGCGGAUCAGCCCGCUCCCGGUAAAACGGGACGGCCCGCCAGAGGACCCCUAAACUCUGUUUCUAUAUGUAACUUCUGAGUAAAACCAUAAAUAAAUCAAAACUUUCAACAACGGAUCUCUUGGUUCUGGCAUCGAUGAAGAACGCAGCAAAAUGCGAUAAGUAAUGUGAAUUGCAGAAUUCAGUGAAUCAUCGAAUCUUUGAACGCACAUUGCGCCCGCCAGUAUUCUGGCGGGCAUGCCUGUUCGAGCGUCAUUUCAACCCUCAAGCACAGCUUGGUGUUGGGACUCGCGUUAAUUCGCGUUCCUCAAAUUGAUUGGCGGUCACGUCGAGCUUCCAUAGCGUAGUAGUAAAACCCUCGUUACUGGUAAUCGUCGCGGCCACGCCGUUAAACCCCAACUUCUGAAUGUUGACCUCGGAUCAGGUAGGAAUACCCGCUGAACUUAAGCAUAUCAAUAAGCGGA